AACGAACGCUGGCGGCAUGCCUAACACAUGCAAGUCGAACGAGAUCUUCGGGUCUAGUGGCGCACGGGUGCGUAACGCGUGGGAAUCUGCCCUUUGGUUCGGAAUAACAGUUGGAAACGACUGCUAAUACCGGAUGAUGACGAAAGUCCAAAGAUUUAUCGCCAGAGGAUGAGCCCGCGUAGGAUUAGCUAGUUGGUGUGGUAAAGGCGCACCAAGGCGACGAUCCUUAGCUGGUCUGAGAGGAUGAUCAGCCAAACUGGGACGGAGACACGGCCCAGACUCCUACGGGAGGCAGCAGUGGGGAAUAUUGGACAAUGGGCGAAAGCCUGAUCCAGCAAUGCCGCGUGAGUGAUGAAGGCCUUAGGGUUGUAAAGCUCUUUUACCCGGGAUGAUAAUGACAGUACCGGGAGAAUAAGCUCCGGCUAACUCCGUGCCAGCCGCCGCGGUAA
rnacentral:rRNA from 1 species